rnacentral:rRNA from 1 species
AGAGUUUGAUCCUGGCUCAGGACGAACGCUGGCGGCGUGCCUAACACAUGCAAGUCGAGCGAUGAAACCUUUCGGGGUGGAUUAGCGGCGGACGGGUGAGUAACACGUGGGUAACCUACCUCAAAGAGGGGGAUAGCCUCCCGAAAGGGAGAUUAAUACCGCAUAACAUUAGUUUUUCGCAUGAAGAACUAAUUAAAGGAGUAAUCCGCUUUGAGAUGGACCCGCGGCGCAUUAGCUAGUUGGUGAGGUAAUAGCUCACCAAGGCGACGAUGCGUAGCCGACCUGAGAGGGUGAUCGGCCACAUUGGAACUGAGAUACGGUCCAGACUCCUACGGGAGGCAGCAGUGGGGAAUAUUGCACAAUGGGCGAAAGCCUGAUGCAGCAACGCCGCGUGAGUGAUGAAAGGCCUUCGGGUUGUAAAAGCUCUGUCUUUGGGGACGAUAAUGACGGACCCAAGGA